rnacentral:SRP_RNA from 1 species
ACCUGGUGCUGUAGUGUGUGCCUGUGUCCCAGCUAUUCACUGGCUGAUGCAGGAGGAUCUUUUGAGCUCAGGAGUUCUGUGCUAUAGUGAUCAAGAGUCCUCCAUAGAUUCAGCAUCAAUAUACUGACUUCCUGGGAGAGGAGGACCACCAGGUUGCCUAAGGAGGGAUGUAACAGCCCAGGUAAAAAAAAAAAAUAAAAUAAAAUAAAACAGAGCAGGUCAUAACUCCUGUGUUGAUCAGUAGUGGGAUCACUACUAAUGCAAUUUCUUCCAAAGAAACGGGAGAUCCAGUUUCUU